rnacentral:tRNA from 1 species
CAAGACGUAGCUUAACCCAAAGCACUCAGCUUACACCUGAGAGAUAUCCGUUCGAACCGGACCGUCUUGA